GACGAACGCUGGCGGCGUGCUUAACACAUGCAAGUCGAACGGAAAGCGCUCUUCGGAGUGACUCGAGUGGCGAACGGGUGAGUAACACGUGGGUGAUCUGCCCUGCACUUUGGGAUAAGCCUGGGAAACUGGGUCUAAUACCGGAUAGGACUACGGCCUGCAUGGGUUGUGGUGGAAAGCUUUUGCGGUGUGGGAUGGGCCCGCGGCCUAUCAGCUUGUUGGUGGGGUGAUGGCCUACCAAGGCGACGACGGGUAGCCGGCCUGAGAGGGUGUCCGGCCACACUGGGACUGAGAUACGGCCCAGACUCCUACGGGAGGCAGCAGUGGGGAAUAUUGCACAAUGGGCGCAAGCCUGAUGCAGCGACGCCGCGUGAGGGAUGACGGCCUUCGGGUUGUAAACCUCUUUCAGCAUCGACGAAGCGCAAGUGACGGUAGAUGCAGAAGAAGCACCGGCCAACUACGUGCCAGCAGCCGCAGUAAAAC
rnacentral:rRNA from 1 species